UUUUGUUCCGCUUAGAAAAUUCUUCUGAGGUGCCUGCGAGAAUGGCUCUUUGGAAGUACUAGCCUAUAGGCAGAGGAGACCUGAGGGAGAGUCUCAGAUAAUGUAUUACAAGAUGUGGAAAUGGACUUCAAAGGAGUCUAAUGUCUUGGCCAGAGUUAAGGGCUGGGACUGUCUCCACUGUUGCAGGAGCUGGGACUGGCUGCAUAAAAUGCAGGUCCCAGUGCAAAAUGAAAAUGCAGGAGCCCUCAUUCAAAAAGCGUUCCUCCACUAUCAGGAAUUAUUAAUAGCUGGCGAUGCCUACUAAAAAUGAUAGAA